ensembl:lncRNA LINC01622 long intergenic non-protein coding RNA 1622
CUCUUCCACGAAGCCCUCCUUGAUUGCUGGGCCCUGGUUGAACUCCUUAUUAGUAACACCCAGGUUAGUCCUACUUAAUUCUUACCUGCAGCCAAAGUGGACUUAGCAUCUCCUUGCAUGCCUGGUAAAGUCAAGGGUUUUCAGCCAGGGCCUGUGUAUAAAGCAGAAGCAGCACAGAGUCUGGUUUGAAGCUUAGUGCUUGGGUUCAGACAGUUGUGGGUUACAAUCCCUUCUACACAUGUUCUCUGUGGAAACCAUUUGGUUCUCUGUGCUUGGAACUCGCCUGCAACGGGACAAAGCCAUCUCACCUAGACUGUUGUUAUGAAGAUUGAAUUAGGUGAUUCUGAGAGGCAUUUAUGCGUCCUCCCUGAGUAACAAUCCAUGAAAAGUGGGCGUCAUUGCUGAAGCUCAAGGAAGAAAUAUGAAAUUUGAUUAUAUCCUUAUUCACGGCAUUGGGUCACCAACUCAGCACUUUUUAUGAAAGUAGCAUCUGACCUGGCAAAGGCUGUGUCAUCUUAUUACCUCAGAAAGACAAAUUUACGGGGUCAGACGAUGGAUGGCUUGUAGAUUUCUCAAUGGGCUGGAAGGAAGGAGAGAAAAAGAGAGACAGGAGAGAGUACACAUUUAAUUCUGCUUCCCCUAGGGUGAUAUUUCCUUCCUCCCCUUCCAGGGUUCUCAAAAAGGCAUUCUAGGAAGUCCUGUAAAAUACAUGCUCAUAAAAAUCUCAUAAUUUCCACAAAUUGUUGAGAAUUUAAAACUCGGUUGGGAGUUUGCUGUUUCAGCCUGAGACACCGGGGUCACGUUUCAGUGCCUGCAGUCUUGAGACAGUACCAGGCAUCUGGGAUGAAGCUGAGGAAAGAAGAUGUGGGGGCCCUGCUGGCCUGCUCCUUCUCUCGAAAGACGCUUACCGGCUGCUGGUGUGUCACAGGGCUUUAGGAUUUGGAAAAACAGAGGGAUUUAAAAGAAGAUAGAAUGGUCAGAAUUUCGAGAACUGUGUGCUGAAGUGCCAUCUUUAGGGUGCUCAUAACACGGCCUUACAACAUUAGAGGUGCUGGAAUCAUGGAAGAGGCAUCUGGACUCUGUAAUGUCCUUCCCCCUGGAAAAUCUGCUCCAGAAGUGGGGGAUUGGGAGCUGUCAACAUAUGAGCCAUCUUUUGCUCCGUUCAAGAUGGUAGGGGCAUUCUCAACAUGCCCCUCACUCUGAUUCUGCCUCACUUUUAUUUUAGAAUUUUCCACUGCCUUUUCUGGAAUGUGCUUUUUCAACCCUCAAAAUCUGUAGAGAAGAAAUAAGCAGAAACCGAAAUGGCUUUCUGGUGUUCUCCAUGCUCUCAGCUUACUGGAAAAUCGAGCCGCAGGCUCGAGGCUGGACUUUAAGGCAGAGCACUGCAAUUAUAGUGCUAUGGCCUUGGCUUCCUUUCUCAUCACCCAGGUACAGUCCUGCAGUCCUCAGAGGAUGCCAGUCCCACACAGGGGGAUCCUUCUCCAUAGGAAAACCGAGGAACAAUGCAGGUUCGAGGUGCACAGUGGCUAAGCACACUCAGUCCUCAAGAUCUUUCCUCUCAAAUGCUAAUGCUACCUUCAGAUGGGCUGCUGCCUGCUACCAUUUCAACAUUGAGUCCUUUAAGAUGCCAUCAGAGAGAGGGGAAGCAAGAGGCCAAGAAAAAUGAAAGUUACUGUUCUUCAAGUGAGGGCGAAGCGCUUCUCUUCUCCUCUCUGAUAGCUCUGCAGCUCUCUAAGUAAACUCUUUGACAAACACAUCGCAGCAGCGAGUGGAAACAUGUCUGAGACGCUGCAGCAUAGCCCGGCUGGUUCUGUUCUUAGCAGUAUUUGCUAAGUUCCAUCCAUUAGAAUGUUUUUAAACAAUGGGACGCAUGUCAUCUUGAUUUGACAGGAUAAUCCUGAGUUUAUAGAAUUUCAUCACAGUGUGUGAAACUGGUUUUUAACUUCACUAUACUGGCCCUCAGCGGUGGAGUCAACUGGGCACUGAAUAGAAAAAUCUCCCUCCUCCGUGUUGUCCCCAGCCCACCACAUUUCGCCCUAAGCUCUGCCCUGCACCAACACCAGCCUUCUUCUGGAGUUUGGCAGCUGUGGCAACUGCUGGCUGUCUCUCAACCACUUCACAAUAUGUAUCAAUGUAUUCUACAAAUCAUUGUAUUUGCCAAGCAUUCUACUACUACACAGUUCUGAUUCAACUGACGUGUAUCUUAGAGGUCAAUAUAUUUUCUUUUUCCCUUAGCUUGGCUAGGACUCCAUAGGAAACAGCUAUUUGAGUGAUGAUAUAUAGGAGAAGGAUAGUACUGUAUUUAACUGUCUGUUAAUAUCAGAGAAGAUGAAUAUUUUUCACCUCCCUGUACAUAGCUAUGCAUAAGCUUGGUAUUCAUUUAUGAACAAUGUAGCAUUUUCAAAGGCACAACUGAUUUACUUACAUUAAGUCAAUAUAAAUAAAUUAUGUUAGUAGAUUGCGAA